rnacentral:rRNA from 1 species
UUGACAUCCAGCGAACUUUCCAGAGAUGGAUUGGUGCCUUCGGGAACGCUGAGACAGGUGCUGCAUGGCUGUCGUCAGCUCGUGUUGUGAAAUGUUGGGUUAAGUCCCGCAACGAGCGCAACCCUUAUCCUUUGUUGCCAGCGAUUCGGUCGGGAACUCAAAGGAGACUGCCGGUGAUAAACCGGAGGAAGGUGGGGAUGACGUCAAGUCAUCAUGGCCCUUACGAGUAGGGCUACACACGUGCUACAAUGGCGCAUACAAAGAGAAGCGACCUCGCGAGAGCAAGCGGACCUCAUAAAGUGCGUCGUAGUCCGGAUCGGAGUCUGCAACUCGACUCCGUGAAGUCGGAAUCGCUAGUAAUCGUGGAUCAGAAUGCCACGGUGAAUACGUUCCCGGGCCUUGUACACACCGCCCGUCACACCAUGGGAGUGGGUUGCAAAAGAAGUAGGUAGCUUAACCUCCGGGAGGGCGCUUACCACUUUGUGAUUCAUGACUGGGGUGAAGUCGUAACAAGGUAAGCGUAGAUGA